GCCCCUAUAGCUCAGCUGGUAGAGCAUCUGAUUUGUAAUCAGAGGGUCUGCGGUUCGAUCCCGUAUGGGGGCACCA
rnacentral:tRNA from 1 species